AUUGAACGCUGGCGGCAUGCUUUACACAUGCAAGUCGAACGGUAACAGGCCUUCGGGUGCUGACGAGUGGCGAACGGGUGAGUAAUGCAUCGGAACGUACCCAGAGGUGGGGGAUAACGCAGCGAAAGCUGUGCUAAUACCGCAUGUGAUCUGAGGAUGAAAGCGGGGGACCGAGCAGCAAUGUUUGGCCUCGCGCCUUUGGAGCGGCCGAUGUCGGAUUAGCUAGUUGGUGGGGUAAAGGCCUACCAAGGCGACGAUCCGUAGCUGGUCUGAGAGGACGACCAGCCACACCGGGACUGAGACACGGCCCAGACUCCUACGGGAGGCAGCAGUGGGGAAUUUUGGACAAAGGGCGCAAGACUGAUCCAGCAAUGCCGCGUGCGGGAAGAAGGCCUUCGGGUUGUAAACCGCUUUUGGCAGGAACGAAACGGUGUCCGCUAAUACCGGGCGCUAAUGACGGUACCUGCAGAAUAAGCACCGGCUAACUACGUG
rnacentral:rRNA from 1 species